rnacentral:piRNA from 1 species
GUAAACUGACUGGAUAUAGGAGGCAAC